rnacentral:rRNA from 1 species
AGAUUGAACGCUGGCGGCAUGCCUUACACAUGCAAGUCGAACGGCAGCACGGGAGCAAUCCUGAUGGCGAGUGGCGAACGGGUGAGUAAUACAUCGGAACGUGCCCAAUCGUGGGGGAUAACGCAGCGAAAGCUGUGCUAAUACCGCAUAAGAUCUACGGAUGAAAGCAGGGGAUCGCAAGACCUUGCGCGAAUGGAGCGGCCGAUGGCAGAUUAGGUAGUUGGUGAGGUAAAGGCUCACCAAGCCUUCGAUCUGUAGCUGGUCUGAGAGGACGACCAGCCACACUGGGACUGAGACACGGCCAGACUCUACGGGAGGCAGCAGUGGGGAAUUUGGACAAUGGGCGAAAGCCUGAUCCAGCCAUGCCGCGUGCAGGAUGAAGGCCUUCGGUUGUAACGUUGUCGUUUGUAACGGAACGUAAAGUCUACUUUACGUAAUAAGAGGAUACAGUAGUACGGUAACCGUAAGUAAUAAGACGACCGGACUAACUUAA